UUAGAAGGAUAGUACAUGAAACCCACCGUGGUUUUCUUUGGUACCUGGAUAGUUAACACUGGACCUUAUGUUUCAAGUGGUUCCUGGAAGGAGGCCUGUGGGGAAAAACUUAAAAGACCUCCACAAGCCUUGACCACAGCCAACUCUGGAUUUUAAGGUCACAGAGCACUCUUGGCAAAAGAUGAGAUGAAGGAGGUUCAAAGGGUUGAGAGUCCUUUAUGCUCCAUUCUAUUUCAGUGUGAAGACACAGCAAGAAGAUGGCCAUCUAUGAACCAGGAAGUGGGCCCUCACCAGAGACUAAAUCUGCUAGCACCUUGAUCUUGGACUUCCU